rnacentral:rRNA from 1 species
AAAAAAGGUAAGCUACUAAGAGCGAAUGGUGGAUGCCUUGACUGGUAAAGGCGAUGAAGGACGUACUAGACUGCGAUAAGCUACGGGGAGCUGUCAAGAAGCUUUGAUCCGUAGAUUUCCGAAUGGGGCAACCCAAUGUAUAGAGAUAUACAUUACCUAUAUAGGAGCGAACGAGGGGAAUUGAAACAUCUUAGUACCCUCAGGAAAAGAAAUCAAUAGAGAUUGCGUCAGUAGCGGCGAGCGAAAGCGCAAGAGGGCAAACCCAGUGCUUGCACUGGGGGUUGUAGGACUGCAAUGUGCAAGAGCUGAGUUUAGCAGAACAUUCUGGAAAGUAUAGCCAUAGAGGGUGAUAGUCCCGUAUGCGAAAAACAAAGCUUAGCUAGCAGUAUCCUGAGUAGGGCGGGACACGAGGAAUCCUGUCUGAAUCCGGGUCGACCACGAUCCAACCCUAAAUACUAAUACCAGAUCGAUAGUGCACAAGUACCGUGAGGGAAAGGUGAAAAGAACUGAGGUGAUCAGAGUGAAAUAGAACCUGAAACCAUUUGCUUACAAUCAUUCAGAGCACUAUGUAGCAAUACAGUGUGAUGGACUGCCUUUUGCAUAAUGAGCCUGCGAGUUGUGGUGUCUGGCAAGGUUAAGCAAACGCGAAGCCGUAGCGAAAGCGAGUCUGAAUAGGGCGCUUAGUCAGAUGCUGCAGACCCGAAACGAAGUGAUCUAUCCAUGAGCAAGUUGAAGCUAGUGUAAGAACUAGUGGAGGACUGAACCCAUAGGCGUUGAAAAGCCCCGGGAUGACUUGUGGAUAGGGGUGAAAGGCCAAUCAAACUUCGUGAUAGCUGGUUCUCUCCGAAAUAUAUUUAGGUAUAGCGUUGUGUCGUAAUAUAAGGGGGUAGAGCACUGAAUGGGCUAGGGCAUACACCAAUGUACCAAACCCUAUCAAACUCCGAAUACCUUAUAUGUAAUCACAGCAGUCAGGCGGCGAGUGAUAAAAUCCGUCGUCAAGAGGGAAACAACCCAGACUACCAGCUAAGGUCCCUAAAUCUUACUUAAGUGGAAAACGAUGUGAAGUUACUUAAACAACCAGGAGGUUGGCUUAGAAGCAGCCAUCCUUUAAAGAAAGCGUAAUAGCUCACUGGUCUAGUGAUUUUGCGCGGAAAAUAUAACGGGGCUAAAGUAAGUACCGAAGCUGUAGACUUGCGCACAACUUAGAUUAUUUAAGUUUAGAAUAUGAGAAACUAAGUUAUAUUUUUACUGAUUUUUAUAGAGUAAAGAUAGAAAUAAAACUUAGUAAAAUCAGUAAAAAUAUUCUUAGGCUAAAGUUAAGUAGUUUAAGUUGUGUGCAAGUGGUAGGAGAGCGUUCUAUUUGCGUCGAAGGUAUACCGGUAAGGAGUGCUGGAGCGAAUAGAAGUGAGCAUGCAGGCAUGAGUAGCGAUAAUUAAUGUGAGAAUCAUUAACGCCGUAAACCCAAGGUUUCCUACGCGAUGCUCGUCAUCGUAGGGUUAGUCGGGUCCUAAGUCGAGUCCGAAAGGGGUAGACGAUGGCAAAUUGGUUAAUAUUCCAAUACCAACAUUAGUGUGCGAUGGAAGGACGCUUAGGGCUAAGGGGGCUAGCGGAUGGAAGUGCUAGUCUAAGGUCGUAGGAGGUUAUACAGGCAAAUCCGUAUAACAAUACUCCGAGAACUGAAAGGCUUUUUGAAGUCUUCGGAUGGAUAGAAGAACCCCUGAUGCCGUCGAGCCAAGAAAAGUUUCUAAGUUUAGCUAAUGUUGCCCGUACCGUAAACCGACACAGGUGGGUGGGAUGAGUAUUCUAAGGCGCGUGGAAGAACUCUCUUUAAGGAACUCUGCAAAAUAGCACCGUAUCUUCGGUAUAAGGUGUGGUUAGCUUCGUACUAGGAUUUACUCCGAAAGCGAAGAAACUUACAACAAAGAGUCCCUCCCGACUGUUUACCAAAAACACAGCACUCUGCUAACUCGUAAGAGGAUGUAUAGGGUGUGACGCCUGCCCGGUGCUCGAAGGUUAAUUGAUGGGGUUAGCAUUAGCGAAGCUCUUGAUCGAAGCCCGAGUAAACGGCGGCCGUAACUAUAACGGUCCUAAGGUAGCGAAAUUCCUUGUCGGUUAAAUACCGACCUGCAUGAAUGGCGUAACGAGAUGGGAGCUGUCUCAAAGAGGGAUCCAGUGAAAUUGUAGUGGAGGUGAAAAUUCCUCCUACCCGCGGCAAGACGGAAAGACCCCGUGGACCUUUACUACAGCUUGACACUGCUAUUUGGAUAAGAAUGUGCAGGAUAGGUGGGAGGCUUUGAGUAUAUGACGCCAGUUGUAUAGGAGCCAUUGUUGAGAUAC